AUUGAACGCUGGCGGCAGGCCUAACACAUGCAAGUCGAGCGGAGCGGCGGACGGGUGAGUAAUGCCUAGGAAUCUGCAUGGUAGUGGGGGAUAAGGUUAGGAAACGGGCGCUAAUACUGCAUCCUCUCAGAAGAGGCUAGGUCGGAUUAGCUAGUGGGUGGGGUAAAGGCAAACCAAGGCGAAGAUCCGUAACUGGUCUGAGAGGAUGAGCAGUCACACUGGAACUGAGACACGGUCCAGACUCCUACGGGAGGCAGCAGUGGGGAAUAUUGGACAAUGGGCGAAAGCCUGAUCCAGCCAUGCCGCGUGUGUGAAGAAGGCCUUCGGAUUGUAAAGCACUUUAAGUUGAGAGGCGUUACCAGCAGAAUAAGCACCGGCUAACUUCGUGCCAGCCGCCGCGGUAAUUC
rnacentral:rRNA from 1 species